GUGGGGUGUGGGCCAGGCCCAGGAGUGGGGCCUGGGCAGCAACACGUGUUAAGGAACGAAGGCAGGGGCCCUGCUCCCCAGGCCUGACCCCAC
ensembl:miRNA MIR940 microRNA 940